rnacentral:rRNA from 1 species
UACGGGAGGCAGCAGUGGGGAAUAUUGCACAAUGGGCGCAAGCCUGAUGCAGCCAUGCCGCGUGUAUGAAGAAGGCCUUCGGGUUGUAAAGUACUUUCAGUCGUGAGGAAGGUGUUAAGGUUAAUAACCUUAGCAAUUGACGUUAGCGACAGAAGAAGCACCGGCUAACUCCGUGCCAGCAGCCGCGGUAAUACGGAGGGUGCGAGCGUUAAUCGGAAUUACUGGGCGUAAAGGGCACGCAGGCGGUUAAUUAAGUUGGAUGUGAAAUCCCCGGGCUUAACCUGGGAAUGGCAUUCAAGACUGGUUAGCUAGAGUCUUGUAGAGGGGGUAGGAAUUCCAUGUGUAGCGGUGAAAUGCGUAGAGAUGUGGAGGAAUACCGGUGGCGAAGGCGGCCCCUGGACAAAGACUGACGCUCAUGUGCGAAAGCGUGGGGAGCAACAGGGAUUAGAUACC